UACGAGGGGGGCAAGCGUUGUUCGGAAUUAUUGGGCGUAAAGGGUGCGUAGGCGGUCUGACAAGUCAGACGUGAAAUCCCUCGGCUUAACCGGGGAACUGCGUCUGAUACUGGAUGGCUUGAGUUUGGGAGAGGGACGCGGAAUUCCAGGUGUAGCGGUGAAAUGCGUAGAUAUCUGGAGGAACACCGGUGGCGAAGGCGGCGUCCUGGACCAACACUGACACUGAUGAGCGAAAGCCAGGGGAGCAAACGGG
rnacentral:rRNA from 1 species